rnacentral:lncRNA from 1 species
GAAGCUGUACGAGCCCCGGCUGGUGGCCAUCAGGCUCUACCACCGUGGUCGGGACGAGCACCAUGCCAUGGAGCAGCACAAGUGGCGCUUCCUCCAGCGAGCUGCACCCACCGUCCCGCUCUCCAACUUCGUGGACGUGAUGCUCCCGAUGGCCGCCAUCUCAUCACCGCUGCCCUGUGUAGACGACACGAGCGAGCUGAGCGCGGAGUCGAAGUGCGCCAUGGACUCCGCUGCCGCCGGCACCAUCAUCACCAUCUGUUCAGCCGCCACCGCCCAUGGCGGCAUCAUUGUCAUCGUCCCGUUCGCCGCCACAGCGGGCAGCAAUGCGCCCGCACCUGUGCCGGCGCUGGACGAGGAGGUGAAGGAGGAGAAGUAGUCGCGCAGCG